CGAUGCGAUCAUACCAGCACUAAAGCACCGGAUCCCAUCAGAACUCCGAAGUUAAGCGUGCUUGGGCGAGAGUAGUACUAGGAUGGGUGACCUCCUGGGAAGUCCUCGUGUUGCAUUCCC
rnacentral:rRNA from 1 species